rnacentral:rRNA from 1 species
UACGGAGGGGACUAGCGUUGUUCGGAAUUACUGGGCGUAAAGCGCACGUAGGCGGAUUUGUAAGUCAGGGGUGAAAUCCCGGGGCUCAACCUCGGAACUGCCUUUGAUACUGCAAAUCUCGAGUCCGGAAGAGGUGAGUGGAAUUCCUAGUGUAGAGGUGAAAUUCGUAGAUAUCAGGAAGAACACCCGUGGCGAAGGCGGCUCUCUGGGACGGUACUGACGCUGAGACGCGAAAGCGUGGGGAGCGAACAGG